CGACCGUCGAACACGUGACAGAAUGCUGCCGCGGAGGCGCUUGCCGCCUCCUCGGCCCCGCCGGCCUCCUCCCUCUCGCCCUUCCGGGCGCGUUGGUUGCUGGCCGGAAUACGGCGCGGGAUGACGCCAAGGAACACGGUAAAGCUGAGGCGCCGGCGAGCCGCUCGAGGUCUCCGUCGGUUGCCAAGGCCAACAGAAAAAAAAAUAUGACUCUCGGCAACGGAUAUCUCGGCUCUCGCAUCGAUGAAGAACGUAGCGAAAUGCGAUACGUGGUGUGAAUUGCAGAAUCCCGUGAACCAUCGAGUCUUUGAACGCAAGUUGCGCCCGAGGGACCCUCCCGAGGGCACGCCUGCCUCAUGGGCGUUAGAAGCCCAUCCACGCUCGGUUGCCUAACUAACGGCAGAGAUGCGGACAUUGGCCCUCCGAACCGCGAGGUGCGGUGGGCCUAAGUGUGCGGCCGUCGUACGUGGCCGGGAGCGGCGAGUGGUGGGCUACUGCGCACGUCGCCCCGAGCCCCGUACUGACGCAGGGCCUUGUACGACCCCCUAACGAGGAGCAAGCCGCUGCGGCUCCGGCUGCGCGGCGCCUUCGGACCGAUACCCCAGGUCAGG
rnacentral:sRNA from 1 species